AUUGAUUAAACAUUUACCAAGUUUUAUUCUUUAGUGCUGAAACAAAUAAUGAAUAAACAUGACAUGUGACAUUUAAUGUGACAAUAGACAUAUAAUGUGACAAAAGAUAUAUAAUGUGAUAUUUGCCAUAUAAUGUGACAUUUGCCAUAUAAUGUGGCAUUUGACAUAUAAUGACGCAUUUGACAUAUAAUGGGACAUUUGACAUAUAAUGAGACAUUUGACAUAUAAUGGGACAUUUGACAUAUAAUGUGACAUUUGAAACAUAAUGUGACAUU